rnacentral:rRNA from 1 species
UACGAGUGCCCCGAGCGUUAUCCGGAAUUAUUGGGCGUAAAGGGUGUGUAGGUGGUUGUGUUAGUCUUCUGUUAAAUUCUUCGGCUUAACCGGGGGUAAAAGCAGAGGAAACGGCACAACUAGAGGAUGCGAGAGGUGAAUAGAACUCAUGGAGUAGGGGUGAAAUCCGUUGAUAUCAUGGGGAAUACCAAAUGCGAAGGCAAUUCACUGGCGCACUCCUGACACUGAGACACGAAAGCGUAGGUAGCGAAAUGGG